rnacentral:rRNA from 1 species
CGUGGAGUGAUUUGUCUGGUUUAUUCCGAUAACGAGCGAGACUCUAACCUGCUAAAUAGUGACGGGUAUAACUUUGUCCUUGUUACUUCUUAGAGGGAUUAGUGGUGUUUAGCCACACUAGAUUGAGCGAUAACAGGUCUGUGAUGCCCUUAGAUGUCCGGGGCUGCACGCGUGCUACACUGGAAGAAUCAGCGUGUUUUUCCAUUGCCGAAAGGUAUUGGUAAACCGUUGAAACUCUUCCGUGCCGGGAUAGGGAAUUGAAAUUAUUUCCCUUAAACGAGGAAUUCCUAGCAAGUGUGAGUCAUUAGCUCACGUUGAUUACGUCCCUGCCCUUUUGUAC